UGCAAGUCGACGGUAGCACAGAGAGCUUGCUCUCGGGUGACGAGUGGCGGACGGGUGAGUAAUGUCUGGGAAACUGCCUGAUGGAGGGGGAUAACUACUGGAAACGGUAGCUAAUACCGCAUAACGUCGCAAGACCAAAGAGGGGGACCUUCGGGCCUCUUGCCAUCAGAUGUGCCCAGAUGGGAUUAGCUAGUAGGUGGGGUAACGGCUCACCUAGGCGACGAUCCCUAGCUGGUCUGAGAGGAUGACCAGCCACACUGGAACUGAGACACGGUCCAGACUCCUACGGGAGGCAGCAGUGGGGAAUAUUGCACAAUGGGCGCAAGCCUGAUGCAGCCAUGCCGCGUGUAUGAAGAAGGCCUUCGGGUUGUAAAGUACUUUCAGCGGGGAGGAAGGUGUUGUGGUUAAUAACCACAGCAAUUGACGUUACCCGCAGAAGAAGCACCGGCUAACUCCGUGCCAGCAGCCGCGGUAAUACG
rnacentral:rRNA from 1 species